rnacentral:rRNA from 1 species
UACGUAGGGUCCGAGCGUUGUCCGGAAUUAUUGGGCGUAAAGGGCUCGUAGGCGGUUUGUCGCGUCGGGAGUGAAAACUCAGGGCUCAACCCUGAGCGUGCUUCCGAUACGGGCAGACUAGAGGUAUUCAGGGGAGAACGGAAUUCCUGGUGUAGCGGUGAAAUGCGCAGAUAUCAGGAGGAACACCGAUGGCGAAGGCAGGUCUCUGGGCAUUAACUGACGCUGAGGAGCGAAAGCAUGGGGAGCGAACAGG